rnacentral:rRNA from 1 species
GAUGAACGCUGGCGGCGUGCCUAAUACAUGCAAGUCGAACGCUGAAGCUUGGUGCUUGCACCGAGCGGAUGAGUUGCGAACGGGUGAGUAACGCGUAGGUAACCUGCCUGGUAGCGGGGGAUAACUAUUGGAAACGAUAGCUAAUACCGCAUAACAGUAGAUAUUGCAUGAUAUCUGCUUGAAAGGUGCCAAUGCAUCACUACCAGAUGGACCUGCGUUGUAUUAGCUAGUUGGUGAGGUAACGGCUCACCAAGGCGACGAUACAUAGCCGACCUGGGAGGGUGAUCGGCCAAACUGGGACUGAGACAACGGCCAGACUCCUUCGGGAGGGAGCAGUAGGGGAUCUUCGGCAAUGGGGGGAAACCUGACCGAGGAACGCCGCGUGAGUGAAGAAGGUUUUCGGAUCGUAAAGCUCUGUUGUAAGAGAAGAACGAGUGUGAGAGUGGAAAGUUCACACUGUGACGGUAUCUUACCAGAAAGGGACGGCUAACUACGUG